AGCGCUACCUGAUUAUCUCUCAGAAGUAUAUAAUGUUUAGAAAUUUCGGACAGCGCAUAUUUCGGAUAAACAUUUCAAUAUGAUUAUCAGUGUGUUUUAGUUGAAUAUAUUUUCUUCCAACUGAAAAUAUCAUUUAUUUAUAAUUAUUAUCUUUAUAAAGCACAAACAGUCAAGCUGUAUAGAACCAAUUUAAAUUGUCAUAAAAUUCAAUGAAAUAUUUUGCUCCUGUAGAAUUUAGACUGAGGAAAGUGGUGAGAUGAAAGACGUCAACUGGUAUCCGAUGUAAAUACACAUGCAUGUUCUGCUGUAAAAUCGUUUUGGUAUGUGAUUUCAUGGUUGGAUCUUGAGUACUUGUCAUGGCUCUUGAUUUAUUUUGGAGUGUUCACCAUCAGAUUAGAAAUCAAAUAGUGAUACGUACCACCAGGCAUAGUUGAAAGGAAAUGUCCAUACACAGUCUUGGAGUACAUAGUGGUAGAGACAUGGCAGUCCAUUACAGAUUUUAACUGAAUUAAAGCUUCUUAAAGCUCCAUGUCUUGUGUAAACUGUCUGACUGAAUGUUUGUAUUCUAAUAAAAACUAAAGUUGAAGACACUUCAAAGAUAUAUGUCAGUGUAAAAAUGUUAAACAAAAUAUCUGUCUUUGUAAGAAAUAAAUAACCUGUCUUUGUUAGAAAUAAAUAACCUGUCAUUUGUAA